GAUGAACGCUGGCGGCGUGCCUAAUACAUGCAAGUCGAGCGAACAGACGAGGAGCUUGCUCCUCUGACGUUAGCGGCGGACGGGUGAGUAACACGUGGAUAACCUACCUAUCAGACUGGGAUCACUUCGGGAAACCGGAGCUAAUACCGGAUAAUCUCUUGAACCGCAUGGUUCAUUAGUGAAAGACGGUUUUGCUGUCACUUCUCGCUGGAUCUGCGCCGCAUUAGCUAGUUGGUAAGGUAACGGCUUACCACGGCAACGAUGCGUAGCCGACCUGAGAGGGUGAUCGGCCACACUGGAGCUGAGACACGGACCAGGCUCCUGCGGGAGGCAGCAGAAGGGAAUCUUACGCAAUGGGCGAAAGCCUGACGGAGCAACGGCGCGUGAGUUAUGAAGGUCUUCGGAUCGUAAAACUCUGUUAUUAGGGAAGAACAAAUGUGGAAGUAACUAUGCACGUCUUGACGGUACCUAAUCAGAAAGCCACGGCUAACUACGUG
rnacentral:rRNA from 1 species